rfam:Mesitornis unicolor contig27778, whole genome shotgun sequence.
AUGCAUGCUGGGCUAUAAUUUAUGAAACGGAGCCCAGGAAACAACCAAUCGCUUAGCUCCCCCUAACACAUCCAACUGGCUAUGAAAAGCUGGAAGUGCUGCAUAGAACAAUUAAGAGGAGCUAUCCCAUAUAUUAAUCUGCUUAUCUGGGAUUGCUUUCUGUGUGGAGAGAGGGAAGCAUAUUACAAGGAGAGGAAAAAAGGAAAAAGAAAGAAACAUCACAGCUUUGUUGUUAAAACAACAGAAAACAUUUCAAUCAACAGGUAAAGUAUCCACUUUAGUCAGAUUGC